rnacentral:lncRNA from 1 species
UGUGUUACAAUGUUACUGCCAUCAAGGACGGCAGCAAUAUGCUUAUUUUGCUCGCGGGUUGGACGUUGUCGCUUUAAAAUGUCCUCUCUAUUUUGCGCAUACCGCUCCCUUUCCAUUUGAUUCUUUAUCUCAUUACGGUCUAGAAGAACAGAUCAUAGAUCAUUAUAUAGCAAUAAAACUGUGCCAUAUAUCAUGAAGUUGAUCAUCAUUACCUUGUGAUACAGCCAGCUGGGUGUGUGCCCCAUUGAUAUCGGCUGCGGCAAUUUUCUUCUGUUUAUAGACCUCACGCCGUCUCUUAUUAAUCACGUCCCUAUUUUGUGCAUACUGCUCUCUAUCCCUCUGCCCUUUUUACUUCUUUAGGGUCUGCAAUCAAUGACACAAUUCAAUAUUUGAGCAACAAAACUGAAUCGAGUGCUUGGGUACUGAUCAUCACCCAAGUGUUGGGUGUUGCUUAUAUCCUGGCACGGGGUGAGCGUCCCGUCGGGAGUGGUCGGGACCAUACAGUCCUUUAACCCUGUGAAUGUCAAGAAUGUUAUCAUACAACAGUACCUGAAGGAAUAAUGCAACAUGAUGUAGUAGUUGGUAAUGCCAUUCAUCUAGGUCUCUUUCUGGGUGUGUCUUUAUUUGUGUUCAUAUUACUUGUAACUAAAGCAUUGGACGAUCCAUAUGCAGAUUGGCAAGGCUUUCGGGUGAGGUCAGUUACAUACUGAAGAGCAUGCACCUGUGUUGGCGACGAGCUCGUCAGCGCGGCCGUGGACGGGCGCCUGUAAGUGCAUCUAGUGCCCCUUAGUGAUUUUCGUGUAUUGAAGACUUAUAGGUUAAGGGACUAAUGCGUUCGUGAGUGUACACAGGUCUAUAAGUCUAUGAGGAGUUUGAUAUUUACAGAGAAAGUCGACCCCUAAAAAUGAAGUUCUUCAACUGAAGACUUUGAUAUUCUGAAGACUUUCUGAAGACUUUGAAAGUGAAGAAAUUGGUGUGACCUUGAAGACUUGGUAUUCAUUUGUGGAACAUGAAGUGUGAAGACUAUUGUUUUCGUAGUUUCGUUUUCUCUUUCUUGAGUCAUAGGAAACACCGUACUGUUAAAGGGGGUCGAGGAAAUACUAAGGAAAAAUUUCCAUGUGAUGCUCAACUCAAAAUCCUACACCUACCAAUCCCUUCGAGUGAAGCCUUUGGAAAUCUCAUACAGUUCAGUCACUUUCUUCAGUGACAGAGACGAAGUUCUUCUGGUCACUGAUGAAUUUGUUCUGACUGAGGAGUUAGGAAUUCGCCAGUACGAAUUACCUACACAGUGAGGAACAUGAUAGCCUUGAGGAAUUUGAGAGUCAAAUUUCCGACCGUUGCUGUGCUGCGCGCCAGCUGUCUCAAAAUAUCUUAUCCACCUAACGGUCAUAUCAUUGAGGGGCAUUUAUGUCUUAUCAUGUCGGGCUGCUCCCUAGGCUAUAAAUAGCCGCCCCCUACAACCACUAGCUGGUUGGCUGCUCCGAGAGAACUUGACACUUGUCAUUUGAGAGCAACCCAUCCUCCGAGGACUUUGAGCGAAAAUCAUCAAGUGAGGAAAACCCAAAACCAAACCCCUACAAACCCAAAGUGAUUGAGCAUCACUGAAGAAAUUGAUCCUGCGUGGAUCCGACGCUUGUUACCUUUGAAGACUGUGCUUCUUCCAGACGGUUAGGCGUCAAGGUCUAGAGCAUCCAAGAGGAAUUGUGGAUCGCCGAGUGACCAAGUCUGUGAAGGUUUGGAAGUCGCCUAAAGACUUACCAUGAGUGAUUGGACGAGGUCUGCGUGACCUUAGUUCAAGGAGAAUACGGUGAGGACUGGGUGUCCUGAGCUGCGUGCUCAGCGACUGGGUGUCCGGGACUGUGUGUCCUUGAGUUUAAAUACUCAGCCGCUCCAACCAGACGUACAACUGAGACAGCAGUUGGAACUGGUCUACCAAAUUAUUAUCUUCACCAACCUACUGGUUCUAUUUCCUCAACCCUUUCAUUUCCUCAUUACUGUGUUGAGUGUUUGUUCAUAUCUGUGUUUGAAGACUUUGACUGAAGACUUUCUCAAUUUCCUCAGUUCAAUUUCUUCAGUCUGUUUGUCUUCAUCUUGUGUUAUCCUGUGAUUACGCUUUCUGUACUCUGUGCUAGUCUUCAUUUCAUCAUGAUGACCAUGCUUGUAUUCUGUUAUGCUUACUUCUAAGUACUUAUUCCGCUGCUAAUAGUUCUUCGCUAAGGAAUUUCCUCACCGGCAAAUUCCUCAGUGAAGAAUUCAUAAAAUCGCCUAUUCACCCCCCUCUAGUCGACAUAACGCACUUUCAAUUGGUAUCAGAGCAAGGUACUCCCUUGUUCUGUGUGAUUUUGGUUUAACCGCCUGGAGUUUUAGUUAUGUCGACCGCAGGUAUGAUCAAGGUCUCGGCUGGGUGUCCUACCUUUGAUGGGACGGACUACCCCUACUGGAAAAACAAGAUGCGAAUGCAUCUCGAGGCUAUUGACAACGAUCUCUGGUAUGUUGUGGAAAAUGGUGUUCCCUCUGUCUCACCCUCACUGAACGCUACCGAUGUGAAGAGAUUCAAGCAACUCGAUUCUCAAGAGAAGAAUAUCAUAUGUGGCCAUCUGAGUAAAGGACAAUAUGGAAGAGUGAGUGCUUUGGAAACUGCUAAGCUUAUCUGGGAUAGGCUGUCCAAAGUAAAUAAAGGAGUCUCAACUCGGCGUGACUCUCGAGUUGAUGUUCUUCGGAAUCUCUUCAACCGCUUCCAAAGACUCGACAAUGAAAGUGUCCAACAAACCUUUGAUCGCCUCACUGACAUCUCAAAUGAGCUUCAAGCCCUUGGUGCCACUGACAUCACUGACCAUGAGGUGGUGAAGAAACUGUUGAGAUCACUUGAUUCCUCAUUUGAUACUCUUGGUCUGAUGAUACAAGAACGGGCUGACUACAAGUCUCUUGAUCCUGCCGAUAUCCUCGAAAGGCUAAAUACUCACGAGUUCCAGCUUGCUGAAAAGAGAGAUCUCUAUGGUUCGAGCUACGGCAAACCACGUGCCCUGAAGGCCAAGGUUGUGUCUGAGUCUGAAUGUGAGGACUCUGGUAGUAGCCUUGGUGAUCCUGAAGAAUUGAGCCAGGAGCUAGCACUGCUCGUGAAGAAAUUCCAGAAGUUCUCAAGACGUGGUCGCUUUGGAAAAUCCUCAAGAAGCAGUGAUUCCUCAUCAAGUGACUAUAAGAGAAGACUGUGCCACAAAUGCAAGAAAUCUGGUCAUUAUAUUCUUGUCCUCAGUGGGAAAAGGAAUUGAAGAAGAAGAAAUACAAGGAUUACAGUUCUGAUGAUGCGAAGAAGAAGAAGAAAUCGUCAAAAUCUUCGUCAUCAAAAUCCUCGAAGUCUUCAUCUCACAAGCAGAGCAGCUCCAAGAAGGCUCGGGCAUUCAUUGGCAAGGAAAUGGACUCUGAAGCUAAAUCUGAGGAAAAUGAGGAAGAGGAGGCAUCUGAAGAAUCUGAAUCUGGUGUGGCGAGUCUGGCCUUCGCUACUGCUUUCGUUAGCAAGUCCAUCUUCAACACUGAAGAAACUGACCCCACCGACAAGCCUGAUGAAGAUAAUGAUGACUACGCUCCCACCUAUUGCUUCAUGGCAAAAGGUGCAAAGGUACUCAAAUACACCUCCUCUGAAUCUAGUGAAAAUGAAUCUGAUGAGAAUCUCAAGACCAGCUACUCUAAACUUGCAAAGAUUGCUGUAAAACAACAAAGGGCUUUUGAAAAGGUUCAAAAUAUGCUAGACAAAAGUGAUGAUAUAUUGGGUGAAGAAAUGGAUCGCACUAAAGCCCUGACUAAAAAUCUUCAGAGACUUCAGUCUAGGUUUGAUAACCUUCAAAGUCAUCAUAACACUCUCUUAUCUGAUCAUGAGAAACUUUCUUAUGAAUUUCUUCAAAGAAAGCAAGAUCUUGAGAAGCUAAGAGUGAGUUAUGAAGAUCUUCAGAAGGAGCGCGAUUCAUUACUUGCUCAACAAAUCAGCACUUCUCAGGAAGAAUUUGUUCCUCCAUGCUUAAAGUGCAUUGAACGUGAAUCUGCUAAUUCUUCACCUGAAUGUUCAAAUGCUUCAACUGCUACAAAUUCUUCACCUGCCUCAGCUAUCACUAAUUCCUCAUCUGAGGACAUUGCUAGUAUCACUAACGAUGCAGGGCUGAAGGAACUGUACACGACAGGCAUGUACAAAAGCCUCAAAGGGCAUCAGAUUCUUUGUGAUGUACUCAAAAAGCAGAUCCUCAACAGAAACCCUAGGAAAGAGGGUAUUGCCUUUGAGAGGAAACUUAAUGCUGAUGGAACAUAUUGAAAGCCUGAGCAGUACCCCAAAACCUCAUGGGUUGCUGCAAAGGGACCUCCAGUUGAUCCAUCCAAGUUAUCUGGCUUUACAUGUGAAUCUCCUCAUUCUUCUGAUGAGUCAUUUGACUCCAACUAUAAACUGUCCAAAAAUCAGAAUGGUGAAGUAUUUGCUAGAUAUGUUGGGACUAACUGCAGGAAUGGUUCCCCUAUGAAGAAAAUCUGGGUUCCCAAAAGUUAUGUUGAAGGUCUUCAGGUGAAUGUUCUCAUGACACCACCUGUGAAGAAUAGGAACCCCAGAACAAACUCUUCAUAUGGACCUAAUUCUUCAUAUGGAUCCAAGUCCUCAUAUGGACCAAAUUCCUCAAAUGGAUCAAAGUCCUCAUAUGAUUAUCAUCGUGCUAACAACUCUGUUUCACAGGGUAGAGCUAAGGGCUACGAAUAUGCACAUUAUUCUUCAAAUCAUUAUGUUCAUAAGUCCUCGAAGAAUUUCUCUGCUUAUUCAUAUGCUUACCCUAACCCCUCUUAUGUGAAACGAAAUGGUUUGGCUUCUAUGCCACCAUUCUCGUAUGGUGCUCACAGAGUGAUGAACUCUUUGCCACCCCUUCAGAUGUGGGUGGUGAAGAAAAAGAACUAAUCUCUUAUGCAGGGUCAGGUCUUCAGACGUGCCUUAACGUCUGAAGAAUUUGCUGGGGACCUGACAAAAAUGCCUGAAAGGACGCAGGUUAACCAUGAUGAAAUGAACUUUCAUUUCACACGUCCUCAUACUGCUAUAUCUGUUUACCGCUUGAUGAAAUUCAUCUGAUGAACUUGAUAUCAUAUUCUUCACUGAUGAAGCAUAUGAGAUUGUAAGUUACACUAAUUCAUCUGCAGGAUGAUCAACCCAAAACCACUGAAUGGGUCCUCGAUAGUGGAUGUACAAAUCACAUGACUGGUGACAAGAAUCUUUUGAUGGAUGCUCCCUUAUCACCGUCACAUCUGAAGCAUAUCAUCUUUGCUGACAAAGGCAAAAGUCAGGUAUUGGGUCUUGGUAAGGUUGCGAUCUCUAAGGAUAAACACAUGGACAAAGUCAUGCUUGUUGAGUCCUUAGGAUACAACCUCAUGUCAGUCUCAAUGCUUUGCGAUCUUGAUAUGGUUGUUGUCUUUGGCAAGUAUCGCUGUGUUGUGAUUAUGGAAGCUGACAAUUCCAAAGUCUUCGAAGGCUUUAGGAGAGGAGAUUUGUAUAUUGUUAAUUUCUCUACAGGACCACAACCAGCCGUGUGUCUACUUACAAAAGCUUCAGAAGGCUGGCUAUGGCAUCGACGACUUGGUCACGCAGGCAUGAGGAAUUUGCACACGCUUGCGAAGAAGAAGCAUGUCAUUGGCAUUGAGAAUGUCAAAUUCCUUAAGGAUCACUUAUGCGGAGCCUGUGAAGCUGGAAAAAUGACCAAGGCCAAGCAUCCAGCAAAGACUAUCAUGACCACUACUCGUCCAUUCGAAUUGCUUCACAUGGACCUCUUCGGACCUAAUCAUUACUCAGCAGUCUCUAAUGUUGCAUCUCUAUAUGGUUUUGUCAUUGUUGAUGAUUACUCUCGAUAUACAUGGGUACACAUUGUUACUUACAAACAUGAAGUGCAGGAAGUCUUCAAACGUUUUUCCUCGAGGGCUUCAACCAACUUUGGUGUGAAAAUCAAGCACAUCAGAAGUGACAAUGGAACUGAGUUUAAGAAUUCUGGUCUUGAUGACUAUCUUGAUGAACUUGGUAUUACUCAUGAGUUAUCUACUCCUUAUACUCCUCAGCAAAAUGGCGUCGUGGAGCGCAAGAACAGAACUCUUGUUGAGAUGGCUUGCACUAUGCUUGAUGAAUACAAAAUGCCUCAUCGUUUUUGGAUUGAUGCAAUUGAUAUUGCGUGCCACAUCAUCAACAGAGUAUAUCUUCACAAAUUCUUCAAGAAGACGGCCUAUGAACUCCUCACUGACAAAAACCCAAUGUGAGUUAUUUCAAAGUCUUCGGUGCUAAAUGUUGGAUUAGAGAUCCUCAUCACAAUUCUAAAUUUGCACCGAAAGCACAUGAAGGUUUUAUGCUUGGUUACGGAAAGGACUCGCACACCUACAGAGUCUUCAACAUCGCUCUUCACAAGAUUGUUGAAACUGUAGAUGUGCGGUUCGAUGAAACUAAUGGCUCGCAAAGAGAGCACCUACCUUCUGUGUUAGAUGAACCAGCACCUGAGGAUUCUAUCAAGUUCAAGGCAACUGAGGAUGUCAUUCCUACUGAAGAAUUUGCUGAAGAAUUCAUUCCAGUACGCGAAGAACGUUGAGCUGACGCACCUGAAAAUAAUGUUGAAGACAAUGGUGCUGAGGAAAAUGAUCAAAUACCUCGACGACAAUCAGCUCAUCCUCGCGUUGCAAAAGAAGUACAAGUUGACAAGAUCAUCAAUGACAUUGAAGCGCCAGGUCCUCUCACACGCUCAAAAGCUUCACAUUUAUCUAACUUUUGUGGGCACUAUGCUUUUGUCUCUAUGACAGAGCCCACUAAGGUAGAUGAAGCAUUUUUGGAGCCGGAGUGGAUUCAGGCUAUGCAAGAAGAAUUACAUCAGUUUGAGCUCAACAAUGUCUGGGAACUGGUCAAACAUCCAGAUCCUCGCAAGCAUAAUAUCAUUGGCACAAAGUGGAUCUACCGCAACAAGCAAGAUGAAAAUGGCCUUGUGGUAAGGAAUAAGGCACGACUGAUAGCUCAAGGCUACACACAGGUUGAAGGAAUUGAUUUCGAUGAAACUUUUGCACCUGUUGCUAGACUUGAGGCUAUUCGCAUAUUACUUGCUUAUGCUAAUCAUCAUGAUAUCAUCUUAUAUCAAAUGGAUGUGAAAAGUGCAUUCCUCAAUGGUAAGCUUGAGGAAGAAGUAUAUGUUGCUCAACCCCCAGGUUUUGAAGAUCCAAAGAAUCCUGACAAAGUCUUCAGACUUAAUAAGGCCCUCUAUGGCCUCAAGCAAGCCCCUCGGGCGUGGUAUGAUACAUUGAAGGAAUUCUUCGUGAAGAAUGGCUUCACACCCGGUUCACUCGACCCUACUCUCUUUACUAAAUCUUAUGAUGGUGAACUGUUUGUGUGCCAAAUAUAUGUUGAUGAUAUUAUCUUUGGCUGUACUGACCAACGUUAUAGUGAUGAAUUUGCCUAUAUGAUGAGUGAAGAAUAUCAAAUGUCUAUGAUGGGAGAGUUGAAAUUCUUCUUAGGUCUUCAAAUUCGUCAAUAGCGCAAUGGCAUAUUCAUAUCUCAGGAGAAAUACCUCAAAGAUGUACUGAGGAAAUUCGGCAUGCAAGAUUGCAAAGGCGUCAAAAUUUCUAUGCCCACAAAAGGCCAUCUAUGCACUGAUGAAAAUGGUAUUGACUUCGAUCACAAGGUAUACCGCUCCAUGAUUGGUUCUUUAUUGUACUUAUGUGCAUCUAGGCCAGAUAUAAUGCUUAGUGUUUGCAUGUGUGCUCGAUUUCAAGCUGCACCGAAGGAAUCACACCAUAAGGCUGUGAAGCAUAUUCUUCGAUAUCUAGCUCACACACCAACACUAGGAUUAUGGUACCCCAAGGGCUCUGUUUUUGAUCUCAUUGGAUAUUCUGACUCUGACUAUGCUGGUGAUCGUGUGGACCGCAAGUCAACUUCUCGCACUUGUCAUUUCCUCGGACGAUCUUUAGUCUGUUGGUCCUCGAAGAAACAGAACUGCAUAUCACUGUCUACUGCGAAAGCUAAAUACAUUGCUGCUGGCUCUUGCUGUGCUCAACUGCUUUGGAUGAAGCAAACACUCAAGGACUAUGGUGUUAACGUGAAGAAUGUGCCUCUCCUCUGCGACAAUGAGAGUGCCAUCAAGAUUGCUCACAACCCAGUUCAGCACUCGAAGACAAAGCACAUUCAGAUUCAUCAUCAUUUUCUUCGUGAUCAUGUGUUGAAGGGCGACAUCUCCAUCGAGCACGUGAAGACUGAAGAACAGCUAGCUGAUAUCUUCACUAAGCCUUGGAUGAGAAGAGAUUUAGCAAGUUGCGGUGUGAGCUAAAUAUCUUACAAUCUUCGAAUGUUCUUUGAAAAGGACACACAUCCUAACACUUAUGCAAAAUUGAUGACUUAGAUGUGCAACACAUGAAGAAACGUUUUUCUUCAAUCAAUGAAGAAUAACACUCUAAGUGUGAAGAAAUUAAUGAAGAAUUUGAUUCUCAGAACCCUAUGACAAUUGUACGCGGUGUCUGAAAUCAUCAUUCUUAUACGGUGGGUCACGCCACCACAAAAAGUUGAAAAUCUUCAAUUUGAGUUUUUCCUCANNNNNNNNNNNNNNNNNNNNNNNNNNNNNNNNNNNNNNNNNNNNNNNNNNNNNNNNNNNNNNNNNNNNNNNNNNNNNNNNNNNNNNNNNNNNNNNNNNNNNNAAAUCAUCAUUCUUAUACGGUGGGUCACGCCACCACAAAAAGUUGAAAAUCUUCAAUUUGAGUUUUUUUUGUUUUGAAAUUCUUCAGUUUUUAAAAUUCUUCAACUUUGCAAAAUCUUCACUGUUCUCUUCGUUUUUCUUCAUUGGCUAUAUAUAUAUAUAUAUAUAUAUAUAUAUAUAUAUAUAUAUAUAUAUAUAUAUAUAUAUGAGUUUAUGUCCUCUACAGCAUUCACUUAUAGCUAUUUUUUCAAGUUUUUUUUUCUGCUAAGUGAAUGUGAUCGGACCCUUCCCCCUCUAUGCUAUACUCAACCCAAUCUAUUCAAAAAUUCUUCAUAUGCUUCUAUUUGAAACUCGUUCAAAAUCUUCACUGUGUCCUUAUCAGCUGAAGAAAUUGCGAACGAAACUUUAAAACAAAUCUUAUCCAAUUUUCGGUUUGCCGCUCAAACUGUUCCGCAUCCCACGAUGCAUUAUUUUACUCACCCACGAUCGUACACGAUCUCCACUACACAGUACGUGGGUGACACAUGUCGUGAGAAGGAGAAUGGUCAGGGGCACGUUCGUCCUAAAUCUUCGGGCGAACAGUUUUUCACUGCCUCUAUAAAUACCCCUCUCUCCAUCCUCACUUUUUUUACUCCACUCGACCUCUCUCUCCCGCUCGAGCUCCUCAAACCCUAGCGCCGCCGCUACUCCAUCGUUGCCGGUGAGGAAGAGCUUCGCUGCCUCGACCUCGUCGCCGUCGUACUCACGCCGACCGCGGGAAUCUUCACUCCGCCGCCGCCGUAGCUGUCUUCCUCCGCCGAGUUAGGGCAAGGAAGAUCUAACCUGACGAACUUCCCAUCUGUUCUUCUCAGUUCGUCGUGUUCUUCACUUCGGGUAAUUAAAAGUUACUUUUAUUACUCGCUUUGAUUCUCAAGCUUUCCAAAAAUCUUCAAAGGUGUUUAUUCUUCAAAUCUUCACACAUAUGAACACCACACACAUCAUAUGAUCUUGUACUGUUUCUCUAAGCAAUCAUUUUCUUCAAGAUUCCCUAAUUGUGUGGAUCUUCGAUCUGUACAACUCUGGAACCUAAGACAAGAACGCUUAGUGAAAUUCCUCAAGGUUCAUCUGGUCAAAUUCCUCAAAACUUGUUCUUUUCGAAAAACCUUCUCAGAACGCAUAUGACCUCUCCGAAUUCCUCGCACCUGUACUCUGUUCACAGGUACUCAUGUCUGCUGCUGAAUCACUAGGUUCUCAUCAACUUAACUCAUUUGCAGCGUUCCUCAAAGAAAAACUGCAUACUUCUUCAGAAAACUCAAUUGUUCAAAUUCCUCAAGUGAAGAAUAUGGCAGGCGAUAAGAAGCCGCAGAAAGGAGGAAAGGAACCUGAGGUUAUGACUGCGUUUGAAAUCCCUGAGAAAAUUUAUGCUGACUAUUGCACACCUGAUGAAGCAAAAUUUGGCAAAGAAAACAAAAAUCAGCGCAAGGUGCGCAUUCAGAAGAUUGAACGGAGAUGGGCAAGGGAAUGGAGGGAAUACAGAUAUGUGACUCCAAAGUACAUGAAGAAAUUCGCCCUCAAUCCUCCAUACCCAAGAGCUCCAUUGGCACCUGGCCAAGUAGCUGAUCCCACAAGCAUCAAACGUGGUGAGGACUUUCCUGAAGAAUGGGCUAAGCGCCAAGCUAAAUUGGCAAGACAAGCCAAGGAGGCUGUGAAGAAAUUCAAUGAGGAUUCUGCCACUGCUACUGCUACUGAGGCCUCGAUCAAACCAAGGAAAUCCAUGCCAAAGAAGCCUGCUCGUAAGCCAAGUGCUUCACCAACAGCGCCCUCACGGCCAAGUUCCUUAGCAGCGCCCCCACGGCAAAUUCCUCACACUGCUACUGCUCCACCAAAGUCCUCAGCUCCUGUGCAUCUGGCUACAUGUCAAAGGACUGCUGGUUUCUCGAUUGCCUCUGGUAUUUCAGCAAGUUCCUCAGUUGCACCAAAGUCAUCAUCUGGCCCGACUUUGCUGAAGACCAAAGCAACAGCUGGACGAGGUCCUCGGCCAAGUCCAAAGAAGAAACAAGUCGCAUUCCAUGUGCCUUCUGAUAAUGAAGCUUCUGAUGAUGAACUUGCAGAAAUCAUCAGAGACAGACAGGUGAAGGCCGCUAGAGCCAAAGGCACAUCUGUGCCACUGCUGUUGGAUCCGAGGAAAAUCCUCGAUUAUAUUGAUCUCUGGCACAAGGAUCCAAACACCCCAAUGCCUGAUUUUCAUCUGACCCCUGGACAAAGUCAUAUGUUGACCCAUUUCAUCACUGAAGAGAAAUGGAAGUUUGAAAAGGCAAGAGAGAUUAAGAAAGCUCAAUACAGAAAGGAGAAGCUCCUGAAGAAAAACGUUGUCAGAAUGACACCUGAGGAACUUCUCCAGGCUUAGUCUGAAAUUCAAGCCCUCAGCAAUGACUUUGAUGCCUACUAUGCUGAUUGGCAAGGAGCCAAAGUCAGAUUCGUCAACCUGACGAAGAAAUUCACCAAUGUUGCUGCCCCAACGCAACAUGAAAUUCCUCAGGCUAGAGUCUCAGCUCAGCUGACUGAAGAACAUGCCAGCACCGCUGAUGAAGUUCAGGCUGCUGAUGAAAAUGCUAGUUCUAGGGCUGAUGAUCCCAUUCCAGCCGCUGAAGAAAUUGCCAGGGCAUCCACUAGUGGUGCGCCUGAAGAAACUGAAGAAGUCAGGGUAACUUCAUCAGUUGCGCCUGUAGAAAAUCAACCAGAUUCCUCAGCUCCAUCUGCACCUACACCAACUCCAAUUCUUCCAUGUGCAUUUGAUGUGAAGAAGACCAAGGCUGCAGAGCGAGCUGCAGUGAAGAAAAGGAAGGCACCAGCUGCGUCAAACUCUUCGGUUGCGAAGAAAAUGAAGCCAACGACCAGCUCGCUCGAAAAUCCAAUUGAUGCUGUUCCGAUUUCCUCCAUGCCAUCAAAGGACCUUGUUCCUUUUGGAGAAGACUAUGAGAUCCCAAGUGGAUCUGAUGAAGAAAAUCAUUCUGCUGCUUCGUCAGAGCAGAUUGAUGAAGAAAUUGAAGUGGAAGCAAUCCCUUCAACCCCAAUCAUUUCCUCGCCUAUGCCUCAGUUCACAGCUGAAGAGGCCGGUGUUGAGGAACUUGAAGAAGAUGUGGAUAUUGGAAGCACAACGCCAGUGAUGAACGAUGACUUUUGGGAAAGUCAACAUCCAAAUUCUCCACUCUUCACCCCACUUCAACAGAUACCUCAGUCCCCUGCACCAACUGUUCAAAUGGGCUCUGAAGAAACUCAUCCUACUUCAUCUGUCCAUGAAGAAAUUCCAGCCACUAGUGCUGAUGAACCUGCUGCUGCUGAUCCUCAGACUGCACCUGUUGAGAAACAAGAAAUUCCUCAGCCUGAAGAACCUGAGCUCGCGAUUCCUGAGGUGGUGAUGCAACUCACUGACACCCCUCUGCCAAAGCCAAAGAAUCCGUUCUCAAGCAAACAGAAGUUCAAGGCUGAAGAUUUCUUUGCCGAGCACGUAUUCUUCACUGAUUAUAAUCCAUAUGAUUCUGCUUGCAUAAGGAAGAGGCGUUUCUGGACUGCUAGCCAAGCCAAUUUCUAUUCCUCAGUGCUCUUCAACAAAGACAAAGUCUUCGAUCAUGCACAUAUUCCUCAUGUGGACAUAGAGUCUCUGCCCAGCUUUGAGCCAGUCCUCAGUGUUCUUCACGACGCAGGACUUCUGAAUUUCUGCAUUGAUAUCUGUGACUGGAAUGAAGAACUCAUUCUUCAAUUCUAUGCAACUCUGCACAUCACCGGAGACGCUGAAGACGUGAACUCAUGGGUAUUAGACUGGAUGUCUGAAAAUACUCACUACAAGGCACCAGCAACUGAAUUGCUUUGUGCUCUACCACUCAGUCCUCCACUUGAUGGUGCUCGUUGUAUCUACAACAAACCAGAACUUUCAAAUCACUUGCAAGUGCUGAUGAAGCCUUUGAAGCCAAGGCAGGCCUCACGAACCAAAUUCCUCGUCAAGGAAUUACUGUAUGUGCCUCGGACUGUCUAUCAAAUUCUGACGAAGACAAUGAGUCCCAUCAAAGGCCACGACUCAAAUGAUGAAGAAGUCGUUGGCAUCAUGAAGAAUAUGCUUUUCAACAUCAUUCAUGGCGUUCCCGUCAACUUCCAUGAUUUCUUCAUGAGGACUCUGGCCAAUAUUGCUAUGUCACCAUUCGAGCUGAAGCCCUAUGCUCCUUGGAUUAUGAGAUUCAUCAGGGCAAGAUCUUCACUGAAUUACAAAGCUGACACCCUGAACCACGGUAGCUACUUGCCUCCCAUUAAAGUCCUCAAACGGACAGUUUCAUCAGCUGAUGAUAAAGGUAAGGCCGCUGCUGUGAUCGAUGAAGGCAUUCGUCCAUUGGAUGGUCAAUUUCGCAAGGCUGCCUCUUACUCUACCAAUGACGAUUCUGCCACACAUGACUCUGCCACAAAUACCUCAGCCAAGCAAAAUCCUCAAGCCACAGCACCCCGGGUGAUGACUGACCGUGAGUUACUCCUCAGUCUUCAUCAGAAGGUUGAUCGCAACCACAAAUGGGUCAAGCGUCAGUUUGGUUCAAUUCUUCACAACAUGACCUCAACACACAAUGCAGUGAAGAAAAACCAAUACUACCUCCAUGAAACCUUCAACCGUACCUGGGCUGUUCUCUCUCAUGUCUACAGCGCUGCAGAUCUGAAGAAUAUGGGUCUCAAGGAAGAAUUUGACUGGUCUGCACCUCCACCGAAGAAAUUCAAGAAGGUCAAAGUUCCUUCCUUGGUGGCCAGCUCUUAUUCUUCAUCGUGUGACACUGAUGAGUAUGAAGAUUUGGAUGACACUGCGGCAGGCCCUGCUUCAACAAACAACCCCGACAACGCUGGCGCUCCUCCAUCGACUUGAAAUUCUUCAGGGGCGUUAGUCCUCAGUUUCAAUCCUUUUGGUCAUUUGAUGACAAAGGGGGAGAAAUCUGAGUUAGUCUUCAAGCGGGUCUAUAUUAAGGGCAUUGUUUUAAGUUACAACUCUCGUUCUUCUGAAACUUUUAUUUGGAUCGAGUUGUAAUCUUAAACCCGAUGGUGCGCUGAUACUUUUGUUGCAUUAUGCUUUGCAUGCUUAUUCCUCGUUCAUGACAUUGCACGCAUGCUGAAUCUCAUCAGGCACCAUAUUUCAUCAUGCAUUUCAAAUUCUUCAUAUUAUAUAUCAAAUGCGUGUAUGAAUUACAAGAUAUAGGGGGAGAUCUCCAUGAUUCAACUCUUCAAAUGUGCAUUUCCUCAAAAGCAAAUUCCACACUAUGCACAUCUUUAGGGGGAGUUCUUCUAUAUCUUGUAAUCAAACUCCUCAAUAUCAGUGUAUUCACUUCAUAUGUUUAUCCCCGUUGAAAACUUAACCUAUGUUGUCAUCAAUCACCAAAAGGGGGAGAUUGUAAGUGCAUCUAGUGCCCCUUAGUGAUUUUGGUGUAUUGAAGACUUAUAGGUUAAGGGACUAAUGUGUUCGUGAGUGUACACAGGUCUAUAAGUCUAUGAGGAGUUUGAUAUUUACAGAGAAAGUCGACCCCUAAAAAUGAAGUUCUUCAACUGAAGACUUUGAUAUUCCGAAGACUUUCUGAAGACUUUGAAAGUGAAGAAAUUGGUGUGACCUUAAAGACUUGGUAUUCAUUUGUGGAACAUGAAGUGUGAAGACUAUUGUUUUCAUAGUUUCAUUUUCUCUUUCUUGAGUCAUAGGAAACACCGUACUGUUAAAGGGAGUCGAGGAAAUACUAAGGAAAAAUUUCCAUGUGAUGCUCAACUCAAAAUCCUACACCUACCAAUCCCUUCGAGUGAAGCCUUUGGAAAUCUCAUACAGUUCAGUCACUUUCUUCAGUGACAGAGACGAAGUUCGUCUGGUCACUGAUGAAUUUGUUCUGACUGAGGAGUUAGGAAUUCGUUAGUAUGAAUUACCUACACAGUGAGGAACAUGAUAGCCUUGAGGAAUUUGAGAGUCAAAUUUCCGACCGUUGCUGUGCUGCGCGCCAGCUGUCCCAAAAUAUCUUAUCCACCUAAUGGUCAUAUCAUUGAGGGGCAUUUAUGUCUUAUCAUGUCGGGCUGCUCCCUAGGCUAUAAAUAGCCGUCCCCUACAACCACUAGCUGGUUGGCUGCUCCGAGAGAACUUGACACUUGUCAUUUGAGAGCAACCCAUCCUCCGAGGACUUUGAGCGAAAAUCAUCAAGUGAGGAAAACCCAAAACCAAACCCCUACAAACCCAAAGUGAUUGAGCAUCACUGAAGAAAUUGAUCCUGCAUGGAUCCGACGCUUGUUACCUUUGAAGACUGUGCUUCUUCCAGACGGUUAGGCGUCAAGGUCUAGAGCAUCCAAGAGGAAUUGUGGAUCACCGAUUGGCCAAGUCUGUGAAGGUUUGGAAGUCGCCUGAAGACUUACCACGAGUGAUUGGACGAGGUCUGCGUGACCUUAGUUCAAGGAGAAUACAGUGAGGACUGGGUGUCCUGAGCUGCGUGCUCAGCGACUGGGUGUCCGGGACUGUGUGUCCUUGAGUUUAAAUACUCAGCCGCUCCAACCAGAUGUACAACUGAGACAGCAGUUGGAACUGGUCUACCAAAUCAUUGUCUUCACCAACCUACUGGUUCUAUUUGCUCAACCCUUUCAUUUCCUCAUUACUGUGUUGAGUGUUUGUUCAUAUCUGUGUUUGAAGACUUUGACUGAAGACUUUCUCAAUUUCCUCAGUUCAAUUUCUUCAGUCUGUUUGUCUUCAUCUUGUGUUAUCCUGUGAUUACGCUUUCUGUACUCUGUGCUAGUCUUCAUUUCAUCAUGAUGACCAUGCUUGUAUUCUGUUAUGCUUACUUCUGAGUACUUAUUCCGCUGCUAAUAGUUCUUCGCUAAGGAAUUUCCUCACCGGCAAAUUCCUCAGUGAAGAAUUCAUAAAAAUCGCCUAUUCACCCCCCCUCUAGUCGACAUAACGCACUUUCAGCACCUCGGCGGCUGCGCCUGUGAUGGCGAAGAGCUCGUCGUCGUGGCCGUCGUCGGGUGACUCGGCGGUUGUACUUGUGUUGGCGAAGAGCUCGUCAUCGCGGUCGUCGUUCGGUGCCUCGACGUCUGCGCAGGGCAGCGAGCAGCGAUGGCGCAUGUCAAGCCGGACGCCUGGAUUGAUUCCCCCCUAAUUUAGCAGAUUUCUUUCCGUAUAGUCGAGCAAGUCCAUGCGAAUUGGACGUGCUAUUUCCUUGUGCGGGCGUGGGAUCCGUACUAAAGUGGCCUGUUGUGCGGCGGCUUCUUUUCGUGAGGUAGAUCGUGGGAGAAGUAGGACGUGGGCUUCUGCCCUGGCAGAACAUUUAAUCGUGAGCGUUGAUUGGUGUGCCAGAUCUUUGAUGUAAUAUAGAACGUCGGAUGUGAUUUAGUGGGAUUGAUCAAACGCCUCUGGUGCUUCUGUGUACACUUUGUGGUGUGACUUUAGGAGGAUUCAUGUUUGCUCUUUUAAUAGUAGUAUAGAUA